rnacentral:rRNA from 1 species
UAAGGAAUAUUGGUCAAUGGACGCAAGUCUGAACCAGCCAUGCCGCGUGAAGGAUGAAGGUCCUCUGGAUUGUAAACUUCUUUAUCUGGGACGAAACCCGGGAAUUCUUUCCCGAUUGACGGUACCAGAGGAAUAAGCACCGGCUAACUCCGUGCCAGCAGCCGCGGUAAUACGGAGGGUGCAAGCGUUAUCCGGAUUCACUGGGUUUAAAGGGAGCGUAGGAGGGCAGGGAAGUCAGUGGUGAAAUCUCCGGGCUUAACUCGGAAACUGCCGUUGAUACUCUCUGUCUUGAAUACCGUGGAGAUGAGCGGAAUAUGUCAUGUAGCGGUGAAAUGCUUAGAUAUGACAUAGAACACCAAUUGCGAAGGCAGCUCGUUACACGCAUAUUGACUCUGAGGCUCGAAAGCGUGGGGAUCAAACAGGAUUAGAUACCC